UUGCUUUGGCAGCACAUAUACUAAAAUUGAAACAGUAGAGAAGAUCAGCAUGGCCCCUGCGCAAGGAUGACACGCAAAUUCGUGAAGUGUUCCAUACUUUU
rnacentral:snRNA from 1 species